GCGAGGUCAGGAGCGGCCUUGCAGAGUUCGCUGGCGCCAGUUGCACGCCAGCCGGCUGCCAGCAUGCGAGCCCCCGCGAGUCUCGUCCUCCUACUCGUCGCCGCCCUCGUCUUAUCCGCCCAGCCAGAGGUCUCAGCGCGAGACGUGACUGGCGUGAACUGCGUGCCUGGAACCAGCUUCACGCAUGGCUGCGAUGUGUGUCGUUGCCGCGCGGAUGGCCACAGCGGCGCCUGCACCAACCGUCACUGCACCAGCGGAGACACCUAGCCUGGAGCCCCGAGCCCCCCAACCUGGAGCCCCCCAGGUCUGGAGCCCCACAGCCUGGAACCGAAUAGCCUGGUGCCCCUAGCCUGGAACCUCUCAUGCUGCUCUAGUGGGUUCCACAUGGUCCUGAGCUGCAUCUGCCACUCUGACAUUUUGCUGUGCAUCUUCCUACUUCUCUGUACAAACUCCAAUAAAUUCAUUAAAGCUGC